UUUAAUUUGAAUUUUUCUAAUUUCUUCAUAUAUUAUGGCCAAAAAGCAUUUUGAGCAUCUUUUAAUCUUAAAUUCCCGAAAAUUUCACAAAAUCUAAAUACAAACGUGCACAUUUAUAUAUAAAACUUUUUCUAUUGGUAAUGAGCAUUUCGAGUAAUUAUUUAGAUUUUGACAAGCAAAGGAAAAAGUAGACACCUUUCGAUAAGCUGCCACCGACAAAACUCACACAACAACGUUAAAACAUGAAAAUCAGUACCGUCCGAGAAUUAAGCGGAAAAUCGAGGACGCGGGAAUUUACAGUAUUACCCCCGCGCGUAACGCUGCACGGACGGGCGCGACGAGCCCUCUCCCUCCCGGCGGUUAAAGCUCUCUGCUUUCUCGUUGCUCGACCGGAUCUCCACAGCCACAAGCACGCCCAGAUCGCAUGGAAAUCUGGGUUUCCCAGAUUCUGCGACCACCAUUUUCGACCCGACGGCGAAAUGCUCGAGAUGUCCAUCGUCGGCGCAUCCCCAUGUCGCCGGAAUUCAUCGCCGAAAGAAGAGCGCGCGGUGAGUCUUGCCGGUUUCUGGUGAUGGGGUCUGUUCAUGAUCGAGCUUGUGAAGAUCUCACCGUUCUUGGGAUGGCGGAAUGUGCAAGUGGUAGUCCAACUCUAAUUAUUAACGAUAAGCUAGAGACGACGGAUGAUUGAGAAAAGGAGAUGCCCAUGCUCCUGGUCUAUCAAGCAGAUGGGCAUAGUCAUGCCAAAACCCUGUGGAUAACAGCCAUUUGGCAUGCUUCAGAUGCUCCACCUUCAUACUACUUUUAAUCUCAUGCCAUGUUUCGACUCGACAGUGAACUUGCUUUCUGACAGGGAACUUUUUCGGUAGCUUUGUGCCCUAGCAACUUUUGAUAAACAGGAUACAUUCUCUAACAUAUCAGCAUUGGCUCAACUAUCGAGUCAAACUUCAUCUUGAUAUCUCCACAGAUUCUCCUUCUGCAGUAGGGCUGUAUGAGUUAUUUGUCUCGCAUGUCCUCUGUGGAAGCUCAGGUUCUGCUAUGCAUUCCCUUCUGCAUUUUGAAAGUAGACGUUCCAGAACCUAUUGGUGCUUAAACAUGGAAAUUGUUAAAAGCCAUGUAUUAAGCUAUUUCUGCAUGUACACUCGUGUAAAGCAAAGGUCAUCUCAAAACGAUGCUACAUACAUGUGAAUUGAAAAGCUACAUACUGUAGAAAUUCAAAGUUGAACGAAAUGAAUUUUUAAAUGCCGAUGCUGGAGAGGACGUCAAAUUAACUGUUCUAUGAUAAGGUUUCAUGCAUGAUACAAGGACAUGUAAGAAUUUUUUUCAGUUGAUUUAUGCUAGCAUAUGUUAGAACGAAUGAUGUAGUGUGAAAGCAUGACAAGCAGAACAUGAAGUAUUGCAGAUGUUGAGAUUCGAAGAAUAUCGUGUGAGAGUUGUAGGAGAGAUCGUGGUCAUUGAGAUGACAUUUCAAGUACUUGUAGGCUGUAAUGUUGUUCCCCAUCUAUUAUUUCCUUUCCUUGAUAUAUUUCCUAUAUUUUGGCAGUAACUCAUAAAGUCAUUUUUAUGACCAAUAGAAAUGAUCUAGCCAGGCCAAGGAGACACCCUGUCUAGUUCCUUUAUUAGAGGCCUAGAACAGCCAGAAAUUUCUGGUUCUGGCUAUGUGAGAGAUUCAAAGGAAAUCCUUAUAGUGAUAAAAGGUACUUGUCUCUUUUCAAAGGAUGGCAAAGGCAGUAAGGUUUGCGCUGAAAAUUUUCGUAGAUAUCGCAGGGGCCAGAGAGAGAUCUUGACAGUGAAAACCGCUGUGCUUAAAUUUUUGGGACUGAUAAUGACAGUAGUGGCUGUACUGACAUCAUUGGAUAUUUUGCAGGGCCAGCAAGGAACAUAAAUAUGAAGGUUACUAGCAACGUUUUGGAGAGUGUCAGUCCAGUUUGAUAUCUUGGUUCCCUUCUUUGUUCACCUUUCAAUCACAAGAAUGAUGCAUCGAACUAUUUUAACCUCUCUUUCUUUGACAUAGCAUAUGUGGCAUUAUUGCCAAAACUUCUAACGUUCUGGUGGAAAAAUUUUUAGCGCCGGCAAGCAAGGGCCAGAAAUGUAACAGAGGUGAAAGCCGGCUUGGCAUGCUUACUGUGAAUCAAAAGGUUGGAACUUUGUCUCAAAGUAAGGUUCUGCAAGAGAUACUCUGUGAUGACAUGAUGGACCAAACUAUUUUUGAAAAAGUCAUAUUGACUUUACAGGGGGUCUCACAGAAAAUUUAGUAUACUGUGAUGGUUUUUGCAUCAUGCUUAGUUUGUAGAUGUCAUGCGGGUAUAUUUAGCACCUAUGAUAUUUUUAUUACAAUGUCUGAGAUUAUGAUUCUUUUGAAUGAACAUAUGUAAAGUUCAUGGUUUUCUUUAAA